AUUAUGUUAGGCUAGAUUAGCCCAGGGACGGUGAUGAAGGGCUGAGUUGGUUUCGGUAUUCAUGCCAGCAACUGUUUCUAAAUAAUCAAUUCACCAAGCCAUUCAUAGCUGCACAGAAACCCACUCUUGCCCUCGGGAGAACCACAAGUGGUCGCCACAAUUAUCUGAAUAAUUACAGCGGGUGUGAUUACGCCGGUAACUCCCCCCACCUGCGUUCUUGGGUCUGAACUACAAGCCGAAUUUAAGUUGGGAGGGAAAAAACAAAACAACAGACGAUUCUCCAAGGAAAAGAGCAAAUUCCAGCGCCGCAGAGUCGUCAUAUGGCUGCUUAAGAUGGCUAACACGCCAGGCUGUUGUAAGAGUUGGAGCGGCUUAUUUAAAUUGAGCUAAUUAAAUUGAGGUAACUCACUACCUCGUUUUCGCUCACUUAACGUUCACCAAACACACGCGGCAACGGUAGCUGUACGGCAAGUCCUCCAGGCGGCUUCUCUCUCGGUUUCAUCUGGCAAGCGGAUGACCUGAGCUAAAGUGGUGAGACCCACUGAGAUUUCCAUCUCUUUUUCACGGGAGCCCAGAGAAGCAACAAGCGCUUCUCUAUCUCGUUCCUUUCUUCCAGACACAGCAGUUUUCUGCGGUUGGACCCAGCGAUUGGUGGGCCAGGCUCCUGUGAGGCUGAGUGGGACAGAUCAAAGUCAUAUGGAGGACAACAGGGGGUUUCAUUAAAAUCUCCCCCCUUUCCGCCCCAGGAAAGAGAAGCAAACACCGGGUGAAAAAUCAUCUGGCCUAAACUAGUUUAAAAAAAUAAAAAAAAGAGCAACCCACCUGUGGUCUCCCUGGAAACCGGCUGCCACCCCCUCCAGCCACCUUUUAAUGAAACCCCAGAGCCCCCUCAUUAAUUUAUUAAGGAAUCUAUUUUGUGAUGAUUCAUAAACUGCGCGCGGCGCGGCUAGCGCCCUGACACGCCGCCGCUAUGCUAAUAUGAAAUAAAAGCCAUGAAUAAUAAAUAAUUUAAUUAGUAACAAUUAGCCGUUCCGAUGGGUCAACAUGCCGGAGCUGACACAUUGGGCUUUAGAAGGGAGCGCUGGCUCCAGAAGACAGGGGGCGCAUUUGGGGGGGGGGGGGGGGUGGACUUUGAGGGGUGAGGGGUGGCGUUUGAAAGGAGGAAUAGUGGGGGGGGGGGGGGGGCUAAGGAGUUUUGGGCAGGUUGAGAGCGCGCUGACACUUAAACACAUUAUUAAACUCGCUCCCGUUCUACAAAUACCGCUCCUGCUCUCCCGUUUUAUUGAGAAUUCAUCUGGAAGGUGACAGUUUGGGAGACGGGCUGUUUAUUUUGUCCUAAGAGGCAGACCGUAGAAAACAGUCCCAGUUUAAACACUCCCAGACUCGGGACAGAGGACCCACUGUGAUGCUGGUUUUCAUUCCAACGCUCAUUCCAACCUGUGAAUUGUACCAAGCAGUUAAUCGCUCUUAAUGAGACAAAUUUUAAAUGGCUAACGAGGGGGUAAUUAACCAACGCUAUGAAGAGUAGAGUGUUUUAUUUUCACCUCCCAGAUUAUCAUAAAUACGUGACAAAAUAUUCGCGAAUUAAAAAUGAAAUAAAAUCAA